CGCUCCGCGAAAUAAAAAUCAGUUCUUAAAGUUACCCCCAAACGCUCCCUUAACCCACCCAAACCCCAAAAUCCGAAAAGGCGAAAACCGUCCUAUUCCUCGUUCGAAUUAGGGGCAUCUCUGAACUGGAUCAACCAGAUGCCAGCGAUUUGAGCGAUGCACACUGAAGAAGAAGAGGAAGAAGAAGAAGAAGAAGAAGAAGAAGAAGAAGAAGCUUCGUAGUGCGUUUGCGUUUCGUUCUUCCAAAUGGCGGUUUCCGACAGUCCCAGCGGCGGCUCCACGCCACCUCAACAGGAACAACAACCCAACAAGUACGCUUUCACCAAGCCCCUCUCUCUCGCGGGUCCCACCCACGCCGAUCUCCAGCGUAACAACGAAUUGGACAAGUUCUUGCUCGAUUCGGGGCUCUACGAGAGCAAUGAAGAAUCCGCGGCGAGGAAAGAGGUUCUUCACCGCCUUGAUCAGAUUGUGAAAAACUGGGUGAAGCAGUUGACGCGCCAACGUGGCUACACAGAUCAGAUGGUUGAGGAUGCAAAUGCUGUCAUUUUUACUUUUGGCUCUUACCGACUAGGGGUUCAUGGACCUGGAGUUGACAUAGACACUUUGUGCAUUGGUCCUUCUUAUGUGAACCGAGAGGAAGAUUUUUUUGUCAUUUUGCAUAACAUCCUGGCCGAAAUGGAAGAGGUUUCUGAACUUCAACCAGUUCCUGAUGCACAUGUUCCAGUAAUGAAAUUCAAAUUCCAGGGAAUAUCUAUAGAUUUGCUGUAUGCAAGUAUAUCACUUUUGGUUGUGCCAGAAGACCUAGAUAUUUCGCAUGGUUCAGUGCUGUAUGAUGUUGAUGAACCAACUGUUCGAAGUCUUAAUGGCUGCCGUGUGGCAGAUCAAAUUCUUAAACUUGUUCCAAAUGUUGAGCACUUCCGAACUGCAUUGAGAUGUUUAAAGUUUUGGGCUAAAAGGCGUGGUGUUUAUUCAAAUGUUACUGGAUUCCUUGGUGGUGUAAAUUGGGCUAUUUUAGUUGCUCGAAUUUGCCAGCUCUACCCUAAUGCAAUCCCCAGUAUGUUGGUUUCUCGAUUCUUCAGGGUCUAUACACAGUGGCGGUGGCCAAACCCUGUAAUGCUAUGCUCUAUAGAAGAGAAUGAACUGGGAUUCCCUAUAUGGGAUCCUCGUAGAAACCCCCGAGACAGAUUUCACACUAUGCCAAUAAUUACUCCCGCAUACCCUUGCAUGAAUUCAAGCUACAAUGUUUCGGCAAGCACUCUUCGUGUUAUGAUGGAACAGUUCCGCUAUGGCAAUAAGAUUUGUGAUGAAAUUGAGCUUAAUAAGGCCCAGUGGAGCGCACUUUUUCAGCCUUAUAUUUUUUUUGAGGCAUACAAAAACUAUUUACAAGUGGACAUAAUUGCAUCAGACGCGGAUGAUUUACUAGCAUGGAGGGGCUGGGUAGAAUCUCGGUUGAGACUGCUUACCCUGAAGAUAGAACGAGAUACAAAUGGGAUGCUGCAGUGCCAUCCUUACCCAAAUGAGUAUGUAGACACAUCCAAGCUGUGUGCACAUUCUGCAUUUUUCAUGGGCUUGCAAAGAAAAGAGGGAGUAAGAGGUCAAGAGGGGCAGCAAUUUGAUAUACGUGGAACAGUUGAUGAAUUCAGACAAGAAAUAAAUAUGUACAUGUACUGGAAGCCAGGGAUGGAUAUUUUUGUUUCUCAUGUUCGUCGAAAGCAACUCCCUGCAUUUGUUUUUCCUGGUGGUUACAAACGCACUCGAAUGCCAAGGCAUAUUAGCCAUCAAGCUGAAAAAACAGGUGAUGAUGCCACUAAGUGCUACUCUGGGUCUGGGUCUGGGUCGUCUGAAAGAUGCAUCAAGAGGAAAAGUUGCCCUGAAAUGGUGGAUAAGAAGCCAGGCAAACCAGAUAAGCGGGCAUCUAUUAGCCCACAAAGGUUAGAAUGUGUUUCUCCUGAAAGUUGUACUAGUAAAUCAGGUGGUACAACUCAAAUGAGUAUUGAGUGUAUCGAAGUGGUUAGGUUAGCUGGUUCAACAACCAAGGAUGCUAACGACAAUUGUGAAGUUAAGUCAUCUGAUGCACUCCCAGGAAGUGGACUAAGCACUGAGGUAGCUGACAUGCAGAUUAGUGAACCGGGCUUUGUUGACACCACACAUGAUAUGUUGAAAUCAAGGAGUGUUGAAAUUCCAAAUGAGAAUGGAGUUCUCAAUGGGGACAAAGCUCAGGAUCUAGCUUUAGAUUGCUUGGAAAGUGCAGAAACUGAAUCUACUAACAGCUUGUCAAACUAUAAAGAGGGAGACAAUGAUACGGAUCAGCGACUAGACAAAGAAUGUAAUUUCAUCCCAAGGGCUGAAUGUUCAGAUUAUGUACCAAAUGCCAGUUCCCAGAACCUCAAUUGCGAGGGUGAUGUUUGUGUGGCUGAUCCAGAUCAGUUCUGAAGAGUGGGUGUUUUCUUGGAAAUAGAGUAUUUCAAAAUAUUGGGGCUCAAGAAUAUAAGGUUUUGAAUUUUCUAAUCUCUUUGUUUUAUCGGUAAUAAAGACUAUCUGAUCUUAUAAUAAUACUUUUCACCUCAUCCUUCUUUGCAUUAUGCCUUUAUGGAAGUUACCAUAUUUCCUGGGUUUUCAGUAUAAAUAGAGUCUAAUCUUGUUCCUUUGGACUUCUUUGAUUUGAUUUUUUCUUCUUCUUACUUUUGUUAUAUAGCUUUGCUAGCAUAUUAUAGACAUUUCAGAUUGCAUUCUGUCCCUUUUCUCUUCCCAUCUUGUUGGGUCUUCUUACUAUAAACAACUGUUUUUAUCUUGUAUAUUCCUGUUUCUUUCAAGAUAAUUUAACUAUCAAUUUCCGUGGUAAGUGAAUUUCUUAGUGAGUUUUCUGACCGGUGAAUAUGUGGUCGCAGGUCUUGCACCACUAUACGUGCUAUGUUUCCAGUAACUGUGCUUAAGAACCUAACUUGUUUUGUGUAUAGAGGGGCUCAAAGACCAGACCUUCCUUUUUUUCAUUUUAUAAGUUUUUUGUUUGAUACUUUUUUCCCUAAUUGUUAUUAUUCUUUCUAUUUUCUAUAUUGUGUAUAUAGCCAGAUGUCAGACUCGGUAGUGCUGUAUAAAUUGAAGAAGGGGCUAGGAUGAUGAGUUUGGAGUGAAUCACCUGAUAUUUGGGAGGUGAAUGGCUGAAAUUGCUGCUCAUGCUGCUACCCUGUGCUAUGCUGUGGUUGUUGCUGUGCUGAGAUCCUCUGAUGUGAAGGGGACUAAGGUUAUAAUUGAACAGUGAGGAGCUGAUACAAAUGAUGGCUGUGAAAGAUUUGAGUUUGGGGUAUGGCAUUGCGAUGGAUGGUCGUAUGUGUACAUAGAUAAACCGCAUGAUGGAGACGCUUAAAAAUGUGGUCACAUCCUGUUGUGUGUGAAACAUGGGCUCAUGUCAUUUUCAGAGCUAUGAAUUGUCUCAUAAACCUUAAGAUAUUUACUUAUCUGGAUUUCAAAAGAGUGGGACCUUUGUUGUUUGCUUGUGAUGUGGAUGUGAUCGAUAAGUUAUGUAAAUGUAACAAAUAGCUAUUUCGGCUAGGUUAUUUGGAAGAGAAAACGGUAAAACAAAAAUUAUUUUGGCGGCAGAAUCUUAUCUAUCCUUGCUUUGGAAGUUACGGUGUGGAGGGUUAUUCUGUCAAUGGGGGGAUUCGUUGGUCUUUCAA